rnacentral:sRNA from 12 species
UUUUUGGGAUAUCGGGCACGGGUCCUCCUCCUCCGGCUGUUCUCCUUCACAGCUGUGACCCAUGUGCCACACAGGCGAUAUCCCGCUUCGUGUGCAAAAAAGCCCGUC